rnacentral:lncRNA from 1 species
CGUCAUGUGCCGUGAUGGAAACCUUCGCAUCCCAUCUUCUCGUCCUACAAAAGGGGUUAAACGACGCGUUUCUUACCGCUGAACACCAUCGCUGAGGAGGCACCCAUCACUGCGAAGAAGGGAGAGUACUGGGGGUUCUGGGUGUCCAUUCUUCUCGCGCGUUCGGGAGACUAAAACUAAAGGCAGAAAAGGGAGGAAAGCUUCAGUCUAGCAGGUUUAGACUCUGAGUGAGGUCUUCUUUUGGCUGACAGGUCUUGCAGGAGCAGGAGAGACGGUCACGAACCCGACAGGAGGCUGGUCGCCGGCGGAGAGGAAGAAAAUGGCGAAAUGAAGAGAGUCACAUGAUCAAGACAUGAGUGCAGGGUCCAUUUCCGCUUCUGCGGGGAUGACUUAUGAGUGCGCAAGAUAUUUCUUUUUAGGAUUGUGCAAUGACUGACUGUCACGGGAUCGCAUGGAUGAUUUUUUAUAGCGUUUUAGUAGAAUUGCAUGAACGUAAAUAGUUUUGUUCGAGCAUUCGAUGGUUUUGUCGUUUUACAGACACCCCUAUUUUGUAAGCAUUUUUGGUACGUUCCAUUGCAGGCUUCCACUAUGUUGUGUGAACGAUCUACAGGCUAUCCAAGAUCAUUGGAAGAAUAUUGUAUUGGAAAC